GACGCUGCCUGGGAUGACACCGGAAGAGAGAGAGACAGAGCAAUGCUGAAGUUGGAGGUGCUCUGAAUCAGGCUGUCGGCAGCAACUGCGUUCCUGAGGUACCACAAGGACACAGAAGAAAACAUCUACCUCCAUGGGGACUUCAUCAUCAUCAGUGAGGGGUAGAGGUGGUGCCCCAUUGCUGCAUGGGAAAUAUAAAAUAUGCCUUUGAAAUGUGGAAAGUUUUAUCGUCAUAGACGACUAAACCAUGAAAUCCAUCAGCAUUAUCCACACACUCGAUGGAAAUCUGUAAAAUCAUCACAAACAUAUCAUAAAAAUUAAAUGUAUCAUAUAAUGCCCAUAUUAAUAACUGUGAAAAAGAAGAUUAAGGUAACAGUAU